GACAGAGGGUGCAAACGUUGCUCGGAUUUACUGGGCGUAAAGCGCGUGUAGGCGGCGCGGUAAGUCGGGUGUGAAAUCUCGGGGCUUAACUCCGAAACUGCAUUCGAUACUGCCGUGCUUGAGGACUGGAGAGGAGACUGGAAUUUACGGUGUAGCGGUGAAAUGCGUAGAUAUCGUAAGGAAGACCAGUGGCGAAGGCGGGUCUCUGGACAGUUCCUGACGCUGAGGCACGAAGGUCAGGGGAGCAAACGGG
rnacentral:rRNA from 1 species